GGGGGCAUAGCUCAGAUUGUAGAGCAUCCGACUGCAUGAGAUCGGAUUGUCCCCGGUCCGAACCCGGGUGUCCCCU
rnacentral:tRNA from 1 species